AGGAGGUGGUCGAGGGAAUCUGAGAAGGCGCACAAGGUUUGUGUCCAAUACAGUCCACACCUUGCGCUACUCAGGUCUGCUCGUGCCCUCCC
rfam:Macaca mulatta chromosome 10, whole genome shotgun sequence.